AGCGGACCGACGGGAGCUUGCUCCCUUAGGUCAGCGGCGGACGGGUGAGUAACACGUGGGUAACCUGCCUGUAAGACUGGGAUAACUCCGGGAAACCGGGGCUAAUACCGGAUGCUUGAUUGAACCGCAUGGUUCAAUCAUAAAAGGUGGCUUUUAGCUACCACUUACAGAUGGACCCGCGGCGCAUUAGCUAGUUGGUGAGGUAACGGCUCACCAAGGCGACGAUGCGUAGCCGACCUGAGAGGGUGAUCGGCCACACUGGGACUGAGACACGGCCCAGACUCCUACGGGAGGCAGCAGUAGGGAAUCUUCCGCAAUGGACGAAAGUCUGACGGAGCAACGCCGCGUGAGUGAUGAAGGUUUUCGGAUCGUAAAACUCUGUUGUUAGGGAAGAACAAGUACCGUUCGAAUAGGGCGGUACCUUGACGGUACCUAACCAGAAAGCCACGGCUAACUACGUGCCAGCAGCCGCGGUAAUACGUAGGUGGCAAGCGUUGUCCGGAAUUAUUGGGCGUAAAGGCGCGCGCAGGCGGUUUCUUAAGUCUGAUGUGAAAGCCCCCGGCUCAACCGGGGAGGGUCAUUGGAAACUGGGGAACUUGAGUGCAGAAGAGGAGAGUGGAAUUCCACGUGUAGCGGUGAAAUGCGUAGAGAUGUGGAGGAACACCAGUGGCGAAGGCGACUCUCUGGUCUGUAACUGACGCUGAGGCGCGAAAGCGUGGGGAGCGAACAGGAUUAGAUACCCUGGUAGUCCACGCCGUAAACGAUGAGUGCUAAGUGUUAGAGGGUUUCCGCCCUUUAGUGCUGCAGCAAACGCAUUAAGCACUCCGCCUGGGGAGUACGGUCGCAAGACUGAAACUCAAAGGAAUUGACGGGGGCCCGCACAAGCGGUGGAGCAUGUGGUUUAAUUCGAAGCAACGCGAAGAACCUUACCAGGUCUUGACAUCCUCUGACAACCCUAGAGAUAGGGCUUCCCCUUCGGGGGCAGAGUGACAGGUGGUGCAUGGUUGUCGUCAGCUCGUGUCGUGAGAUGUUGGGUUAAGUCCCGCAACGAGCGCAACCCUUGAUCUUAGUUGCCAGCAUUCAGUUGGGCACUCUAAGGUGACUGCCGGUGACAAACCGGAGGAAAGUGGGGAUGACGUCAAAUCAUCAUGCCCCUUAUGACCUGGGCUAC
rnacentral:rRNA from 1 species